rnacentral:rRNA from 1 species
GAUGAACGCUGGCGGCGUGCCUAAUACAUGCAAGUCGAGCGAACGGACGAGAAGCUUGCUUCUCUGAUGUUAGCGGCGGACGGGUGAGUAACACGUGGAUAACCUACCUAUAAGACUGGGAUAACUUCGGGAAACCGGAGCUAAUACCGGAUAAUAUUUUGAACCGCAUGGUUCAAAAGUGAAAGACGGUCUUGGUGUCACUUAUAGAUGGAUCCGCGCUGCAUUAGCUAGUUGGUAAGGUAACGGCUUACCAAGGCAACGAUGGAUAGCCGACCUGAGGGGGUGAUCGGCCACACUGGAACUGAGACACGGUCCAGACGCCUACGGGAGGCAGCAGUAGGGAAUCUUCCGCAAUGGGCGAAAGCCUGACGGAGCAACGCCGCGUGAGUGAUGAAGGUCUUCGGAUCGUAAAGCUCUGUUAUUAGGGAAGAACAUAUGUGUAAGUAACUGUGCACAUCUUGACGGUACCUAAUCAGAAAGCCACGGCUAACUACGUG